rnacentral:rRNA from 1 species
GACGAACGCUGGCGGCGGGCCUAAUACAUGCAAGUAGAACGCACAGUUUAUACCGUAGCUUGCUACACCAUAGACUGUGAGUUGCGAACGGGUGAGUAACGCGUAGGUAACCUGCCUGGUAGCGGGGGGUAACUAUUGGAAACGAUAGCUAAUACCGCAUAAUAUUAAUUAUUGCAUGAUAAUUAAUUGAAAGGUGCAAUUGCACCACUACCAGAUGGACCUGCGGUGUAUUAGCUAGUAGGUGAGGUAACGGCCCACCUAGGCGAAGAUACAUAGCCUAGCUGGGGAGGUGGUCGGCCCAACUGGGACUGGGAACCGGCCCAGACCCCUACGGGAGGCAGGCGUAGGGAAACUUCGGCAAUGGACGGCAGUCUGACCGCGCAACGCCGCGUGAGUGAAGAAGGUUUUCGGAUCGUAAAGCUCUGUUGUAAGAGAAGAACGGGUGUGAGAGUGGAAAGUUGACACUGUGACGGUAUCUUACCAGAAAGGGGCGGCUAACUACGUG